UGGGGAAUCUUGGACAAUGGGCGAAAGCCUGAUCCAGCAAUGCCGCGUGUGCGAAGAAGGCCUUCGGGUUGUAAAGCACUUUUGUCAGGGAAGAAAUUGCUCAAGUUAAUACCUUGAGUCGUUGACGGUACCUGAAGAAUAAGCACCGGCUAACUACGUGCCAGCAGCCGCGGUAAUACGUAGGGUGCAAGCGUUAAUCGGAAUUACUGGGCGUAAAGCGUGCGCAGGCGGUUUGCUAAGACAGUUGUGAAAUCCCCGGGCUCAACCUGGGAACUGCAAUUGUGACUGGUAGACUAGAGUUUGGCAGAGGGGGUGGAAUUCCUGGUGUAGCAGUGAAAUGCGUAGAUAUC
rnacentral:rRNA from 1 species